rnacentral:misc_RNA from 1 species
CCGAGUGCGAGCCCUCUGGGCUCAACCUCCCACCCGUGUCGUUCUGAACACCUGUUGCUUUGGCGGGCCCACCGGGGCCACCCGGUCGCCGGGGGACGUCUGUCCCCGGGCCCGCGCCCGCCGAAGCACCCCCUGAACUCUGAAGAAGAUCGGGCAGUCUGAGUACCUAGAAAAUUGUCA